CCGCUGAAAGCCAGACUAAAAGGAAUGGGACCUGGGAGCCACUUGUCCCUUCCUUCCUCCCAGUUCAAGGAGGCCCUCUCUAUAUCAAGAAUCUCAACUCAUCAGAUAUGCCACUACUCUCUACUGCAUCCAAGUGAGCGCAGCAGCGAACGGAGGGUGAGGUUCGGUGGAGCCUUCAUUCUGCACUCCACUAUACUCAAACUGCUACUCCAGAAGUGCUAGUCCUCAACUCAAGAGCAGUUUCUCAGUAUAUAUAGAUCUUUCUGAUUCCAAGUUAGCUGCCCAACAUGGCAAAGGAUGACCAUGUGGAUGAUGAAAACCCUAGAUCUCACUCUGCUAAAAACAUCAGCGAUAUCAACAGGGAAGAAAUUUUCAGCAUGUUCUUAGUCCAUGGUCAUGAAACUGCGGUGUUCAACUCCCAAACAGGCGAAGUUGUCCCUUCAAAUAUGCGAUUGCAAGUAGAAGAUAUUGUAGCCACGCUUUACUAGUUCAUGCUCCGGUGCUACCCCGACUGAGCUUUUCAUUUCAUAAAACCUCUCCUCUUUAAUUAUGCCAUAUAUUUGUUUUCUGGUUCCUCAUGCCAGAAUUAACGUUCUUGACCUUGUAAGGCCUAUUCUUGACCUUGUAAGGCCCCGUCUCUUUGUCCGACUCAUCCUCACCCUUCUUACCCAUUUCUUUCUUGCUACCCGCAAAACCAAUCUCUCGAUCACCGUGUUUGCGGAUCUCCAACAACCACCUGUUCCCUGCUCCCGUCUAUCCCUCCUGAGCUAUCUCAUCAAUGUUUUGAUGCAUAAUAAAUGUUGGACUUAUGUAAUUCCACGAUCGAGUUCUACUUUUGGGACUACGUUUAAUUUUUUUUAGUAAAUUGCACUUUGCCCCAUAUAAAGGUGCCAUGGUUUUUAAAAAAACCCAUAAAAAGUAUGUUGUGCCACUAACCCAUACAAACAUGCCAUGUCGUAGCACUUUGCCCACCCUUAGCUUUAAUGCCCCCUCAAACUAUCUUCCUACUUGAUCGCACGAGAUCAUGCUUGAAAAAAAAUAAUACAAAAUCCAAGUCUUACCAGCCAUCUAGCAUUAUACACAAAAAAACACAGCAUAAAUCAGACAGUAUCAAUUUUGCAUGAUCAUGCAAAUAUUUGAAGUCUUCCCACAUUUAGCCAGAAUGAUAACACCAAUACGGCAAUAAACUAGUUGCCUUGAGGAGGAUCAUGCCCUGAUCUAGCACUAAGAAAACUAAAACAAUUGGACGAGGACUUUGAGGAGGAUUAGGA